UGAGAGGAGGGGCUUCUGCUGGCGGGGGCUGAAUUCAGCACCAGGGUAUAAUACAGAACCCACAGUGCUAGAACCGGUUCUUUUACUUCUAUAAAGGGUUCUGCAUGGUUUAGAACCUGUGCACCACUGGCCACAUUAUUGGAAACACCUGCUCGAAUGAACAGUUCAGUAAUCUCUGAUUGUGAUGAGUUUUGACACUGUACGGUUCUGUUGUCUAGAACGUAAAACAUCUGUGUGUGUGUGUGUGUGUGUGCGUGUGUGUGUGUGUGUGUUCUCAGGAUGCUGCGGGUGCUGCUCGGGGUGUGUGUGUGGGGGGUGGUGUGUGUGUGCCAGCAGCCCAACACCAGGAGUGAUAGUGAACACAACCCGGACCAACCGGAUCACAUCACCCUCAAACAGACCUAUGCGUAUAUGAAUAAGGACACGAAUAAACUGGGCGUGUUCAUCGCUGCUGCCGUGGGAACCAUGACCCUGAUGGGCGUGAUCUACUGUAUCUACAACCAGUUCUACACCAAACACCCCUACGCCCACACCCAGCUCCACGACUCCGAUGUGUCUGUGGACAUGGGUGGGUCGUCCUCCUCGGUGUUGGGUAGUUGUGGACGGCUGGACGGAUGGAAGGAUGGAGGGAUGAGUUACGGUUCUCUCUCAGACACUCCCUCCAUCAUCACUCUUCCUCCCUCCCUCUCUCCUCCUCCUCUCGCCUCCCCCUUUCCCCCGCCCCGUCCCCCGCGUCCCGUCCCCCUCAGGACCAUCUCAGCUCAGGACCUGCAGAGGAGCUUCCUCUGAGCAUCAGGACGAUUCCGGUUACAGCGCCCGCGUCCUGCUCCCCGAUACAGUACAGUAAUAGAUACGGGUUAGCGGGUUAGCGUAUGCUAGCGCUAGUUCACCGUGCUGAAGAUAUAACAUCUAUAACAAUGUUUCUAUAACAGAUAUUCCUCCACUGUUCUGCAGUUAAUGAUUCUUUCUUAGAUUUCUUACUCUCUCUCACGUUUAGCUCACGCUCGGCUCACGCUCGGCUCACGCUCGGCUCACGUUGGUUACACUAGUGAGUGCAGCGCACCUACUAAGUGGACCCUGGCUGUAUCGACAGUACUCAGACAGUAGAGAGUAACUACAGGUCAAUAAACAUUAGCUUACUCUAAUGUAAGCA
rnacentral:lncRNA from 1 species